rnacentral:misc_RNA from 1 species
AAAGUGCGAUAAGUAGUGUGAAUUGCAGGAUUUGUGAAUCAUCGAAUCUUUGAACGCAAGUGGCGCUCUGCAGUCGCGGAGCAUGUUUGUCUGAGGGUUGGCUGUGAUGUGUGGGGCGUAAGAUGUAAACGUCUUUCCCCCCAAAUUGAUGUAAUUGGCGGAUGGAACGUGGAUGUUUCGUGUGUUGAAUGUGUGGGCGUGCGCAAGCACCUGCACGAGUGUGCAAGCCGCUGUCAUGGCGGCUUUCAUUGGCUCUGGUGUUUUCGGACACUGGGCGACUCGUGGUUGUGGUUUUGUUUGUCACAUUUAGUACCAUUGCAUUUACACUUGACUCAUUCCAAAAUAAAUCUAACCUCAGAUCAAGCAGGAGUACCCGCUGAACUUAA